AUGCACCGGAUCCCAUCAGAACUCCGCAGUUAAGCGUGCUUGGGCGAGAGUAGUACUAGGAUGGGUGACCUCCCUGGAAGUCCUCGUGUUGCACCCC
rnacentral:rRNA from 1 species